rnacentral:lncRNA from 1 species
CCCCCCCCCCCCCCCCCCCCCCCCCCCCCCCCCCCCCCCCCCCCCCCCCCCCCCCCCCCCCCCCCCCCCCCCCCCCCCCCCCCCCCCCCCCCCCCCCCCCCCCCCCCCCCCCCCCCCCCCAAAAAAAAAAAAAGCUUCUUCCUAGUCUUGUUUAUCUCUUGGCAGAAAAAAAAAAAAGUAGACUAAAAGAAAGCAAAAGGAUGAUUACAUUCUCACAGUAAGGAGAUAAAGGAGGGGACCAAAUUGGAUAUGAACUGUAAUGAUCACAGGAUACAUAAGGGAGUAGCUGAAUUCAAGAACACUGCAAUGCAAAAAGAACAUUUCUCCAAGAAGGAAUACUAUCUGUCCAGCAGAAUUCCUAAAAUAUUACUGCAACCCCACAGCUUUGUCCAAAAACCCAGUAAAUAAAACUUUUGUCUGAAACUUUUCCCACCAUUCCAAGACAGUUGGUAUUUAAUCUAAAUAACCUCCUGCUGAGUGUUGAUCGCAGGCUGUAGCUCUGCAAUCCAGCCUCAUCACAGCCCAGUCUAAAUAGAGCUUCAAAAAAUAGUCAGCUGAAAUUCACUCAAAUUCCAACUUGCUUAGAGUAUGGUCUCUAUUUCUGAACUCAUAAUGGCUGAACCAAAAUCUGGAACUUAGCGAUGUCUGUGGAAUGCAGGAUUUUUGUGUUGGGUCUCCAGCUGUUAUGAAGUCACUGCUGUUUGAUGCAUCAGCAAUUUUGACAGGAAAAAAAUAGAAUGUGUUUUCAAAUAUGUGGUGAAGUCUGCAGCUAUGGCCAUACUAGAGUAUAACAAAUGCCUCAAUGGCAAGAGAAAAGCCAGAUUUCUGAUGCAUGGAGGAGCAACUCCCAGGACAAUACCUCGAGUGGCAGUCCUUCAUGUGAACUGUGAUCUGGAGUGCCUACACAGCAGAUCUAGAACUGACCAAACUGAUUUUCAGCAUGAAUAUGUGAUGCAGCUAUUGCCUUACCACACAAAGAUAUUAAACCAUAUAACUAAAAUUAUGGGUUACAUGGUAGAUUAAUUUGCAGGAGAUAUGACCCUGCUUUAAUAUCUCCUUUAAAAUUAAUAAUGGCUUAGUGGCAUUAUUUAAAC